CAGUCGCCGCGGUAAUACGUAGGGUGCGAGCGUUAAUCGGAAUUACUGGGCGUAAAGGGUGCGUAGGCGGCUUGACAAGUCUUGUGUGAAAUCUAUGGGCUCAACCCAUAGUCUGCACGGGAAACCGUCGGGCUUGAGAAUGGGAGAGGUGAGUGGAAUUUCCGGUGUAGCGGCGAAAUGCGUAGAUAUCAGGAGGAACACCUGUGGCGAAGGCGGCUCACUGGACCAUAACUGACGUUGAGGCACGAAAGCUAGGGGAGCAAACAGGAUUAGAUACCCGCGUAGUCCCUGUCUCUUAUAC
rnacentral:rRNA from 1 species